rnacentral:misc_RNA from 1 species
GUCAAGUCCCUACUACCCCUUUCCUACAUCUUCCAGAACCGCACCCCUUACCCACAGGAACUGGAGGUUGCUAUGGACACCAAUGAUUGCUUCAUGUUCUCUGGGAAUAAACAAUUCCACUUCCGAGUCUUGCCUGGUGUUCCCUAUGAACUGAAGUACAACUUGUUUCCUCUGGUGGCGGGGCAUGUGAACCUACCAAAGCUCAACUUUACCCUGAUUGGCUACCCCGAUCCCAUCGACCCAGUUCUACAGAAAAUGUUACCCACUCAUAUUUUCAUCAAGCCCUGCGGCAAAGUGCUAUCCCAAGGAACGUGAAGACCUACACAGCCGAACCUGAUGUGAUCAGGCUUAUCAUGUUAACAUGUUUACAUCUUAUCCAGUAAUCGUUAUUCCACAUCAUUGUGUACAAACUGUGUUGUGUGAAGUGUCGUCUGUCUUACAUGUACUUAAUGUACAGGACAGUCCUCCUUGUGAAGUUAUUACUGAUCUGUGAGGUACAUGUUUGUGUUUAGUGCUGACUCUUUUUAUUUAAUAGCAUCAAAUUUAUUUACAUUUGUUCUGUGAUGAAAUAGCAUUAAAAUGUGCAAU